rnacentral:rRNA from 1 species
UACGUAGGGUGCGAGCGUUGUCCGGAAUUAUUGGGCGUAAAGAGCUCGUAGGCGGUGUGUCACGUCGGCCGUGAAAACCUGCAGCUUAACUGUGGGCGUGCGGUCGAUACGGGCAUCACUGGAGUUCGGCAGGGGAGACUGGAAUUCCUGGUGUAGCGGUGAAAUGCGCAGAUAUCAGGAGGAACACCGUGGCGAAGGCGGGUCACUGGGCCGACU